CAAACACAGGAUAUGCCAUCUCAGGGUUAGAAAAGAAAAACCUUGUGACAUGCUCUGUCAGAAAGCGAAGAAAUGAGAAACUCAGCGAUGCCCCAUUAUGGCAUCUAUAUUGAUUGAAGUUGAGGUCACAACAAGUAGAAAUGAGAUGAUUGACAAAGAUUAGUUCAGCGCUCUUGCCUGCUCAGCCUACAGUCCAUUUCUAUAUGUGGAGGAGAUGCAAGUGGCAGGGAGAAAAUGAUGAACCUGAGCACUGUGUUGCUGAUAAGUGAGGCAAAACAAGUAGGGAUCUCUCAUGAAACGCAAGCCUAUGUCUAUACCUGGCAGCUAAAGUGCUGUUUUUACACUUGCCUCUGCUAGGAGGUUACCUCAUUGCUGUAUCACGCACAAGGACUAGUCUAGCAGUCCAAACCCUAGUUGGGAUCUGGGCUUUCUAAACAUCUAUGACCAUGCCAACACGGCAGAUGUGUCAGCUUUCUGUCAGUGUUAUUUUUCCUUCCAGGUCCUUGAGGGAAUCAACGCCAAAAAGCACUAGAGGAUGAAGCAGGAAGGCAGCCUGAUGAACUGGUAUUGGAAGGCAAGUGGCCCUUACAAUCCCAUGGUUUGCACAGAAAACUCCAGUCCUGAAUUUCUGAUCUUCUGUUCCUAAUGAAACUGAGUUUGGCAGCUGUGGAGCUGAGUCAAAUAGAGAAGAGCCAGCUUUGGGCCUGUAUCCAGAGGAGGUGAUAUCUGAAAAUUGGUACUGAUGGAUUUGGAUAAGGUGUCUUUGUCUGAGGCAAAACAUAUCUUCGGUGUGCGAGCAAGUAUGGAAAAUUUUGACCCAGAAGUGACUAGGUGGAAAAGCUGAGCAUGUCAGGACAAAGGCUCAUAACUGAGCUUGGUCUGCCAUCAAAUCUGUCAGAAUCCAAGUGAAGCACCAAAAAGUGAGUGAAGUUGCACCCCAUCCUCUUGUUUUAGUUAACUUUAAUAUUUGCCCAACGUGACUUUUUCCCCAGGAAGUUGGACACGAGUAUUUAUAAAUAAAACUGCACCUGUUCUGUGGCUAGAAAAAAGCACCUGCGCUGCUUCUGCACAGAACUUCUCUUGCUGGGAUUGUGUGGCUGCCAAAUUUAUCAGACUCAUCAGGGUUUCAGAUCAUACUGAACUCUUUACCGCAAACUACUUACUCCCUCUACUCUUGUCUGUCCGCAUUACUUCCAAACAGACCGCUUCCAUGUGGCUUGGUAUUAAUGCGAUUUUCCCAGUGGAAAGCUGGGGGAGGCCAGGCCAGGCCUUCCAUGCCUGAUGCCAGAAACAAACAGGCAGCCAUCCAGGACGUAAAUUAGUUGCAUCCAGAGUAAGCCUGGCUUGCCUUUGGAAUCUGGAACUGAAAAAAUCCAAGGGCAGAGAGUUGGACAGUGCUUUCUGUGUCACAACGUAAAAUUUCUGUUUGUGCAGGGUAAGGAAAAUGUAUUCAAUAACUCAGAAGGAAGUACAUUUGCUACUGCUUUAAUUUUGUCAAGGCUUUCAUAGUUGUCUCCCAUUGUUUGCUAUCAGCAACAGUUUGGACAUGAUUUUGCUCUCGCUAGCACUGGCAAAUACAAAUCUCAAAACCAAACAUUUGGAUUUCUGAAAGGGAUUAAAGCAUGUGUUAAAUUAGCUGCAACAUAUUGCAUGACUUGGGGCAGCGCUACAGAAAAGUCUCCAGCAAUCAGUUGCCUUUGCAGCUUUGGUUUUGCAACUGUUAUGUGAGA